GCGCAUCGAAUGCAUUUACAACUGUCAUUGAAAGCAGCACAUUGCCCAGCCACCACGGUGAACCAACAGGGCUUUCAGCCAAUUAAAGGUAAGUAGGUACAUUUAACAUCCAAUCGCUGGAUAACAUUGAGGGCUCAUAUCACUGCUCUCUAUGACUUGAGGGACCUCCCGUUGCGCUAGUACACCUGAGCCACCGUACUAGUUUAAAUGUCCCUUUGAUCUUUCAUUGCAGGUAGCUCGAGCUUUGAAGUUAAUGUAUUCUUUUCUAUCUUAAUCUAAGUUUAAAUGUCUUUAAUACCUUUAAAACCUAACCCUUUAUUUACCCAGAGCUUUAAAGUAGCAGUGCACAAGAAGCUAAUCUCUCAGCCUGGCAGUCCGGCUAAUGAUUUUUGUGGUGAUGGUGGUAAGAGAAGAAGAGGCAUAGCUAACGGAGGGACUCAUGUUUUAAGCAGAAAACAUGGCCACGGGAUCCAAAUACUUUUUUCCAGCCAUGCUGAUCAUGCCAGUUAGAUUGUGUGAUCCACGUUUUGUAUGUUCUCUUGAUGUGAUCUGUGAAGACUAUAAAG